CUUCUACAGAUUCAGUUCAUUCAAGAUGGCCAAGUCGAAGAACCACACGAACCACAACCAGUCGAGCAAGAACCACCGCAAUGGGAUCAAGGGCCCUAUGCCCCUGCAUCUCCACAAUUCCAAGCGUGGUAGCUGGCUCCCUGCGUUGGUGAACGCCCGCCGCGUGCGCAAGCACAACCAGAAGGCGGCGCUGAAGAAGCGCCGCGAGCGCAUCGCUGCGUUUGCCGCCAAGAACUAAGCAGGAUCGGAGGAGUCUGUGCGAAAGUGAGUCAUGCUCGUCUUUUCGUCUCUUUCCCGCUCCUCUUCUUGUUCGGGUAGAUGCCUAAGCGAGCCCGCCCGUGCGGGUGGGGCGGGAGCGAGUGCGCUGGUGCGCUCUCCUGCAUGCUGCCGCCUUUCCUUUUACUCAGCAGAGUUGUGCUAUGCAUGUCCACCAAACGCGAACAGAAAGUGGGCGGCGUGUGCUGGCGUGCGUGUGAGCGGAAGAGACAUUGUGCACCCUCGCAGGGCAGUCCGUGAGUGAACUGAAUCCGUGCGAUGCUAUGAUACUUGUUUUUAUUUUCUAUUUCAUAUAUAGGCGUGGUUGUGUAUCGCCGGACUCACUUGUAUGAUGUUGCCACCGCACGAAG
rnacentral:misc_RNA from 1 species